rnacentral:rRNA from 1 species
GCGACAGAUCCCUUCGGGGUGACGUUGCUUUAACCUAGCGGCGGACGGGUGAGUAACGCGUGGGUAACCUACCCUAAAGCUCGGGAUAACAGUGGGAAACCGCUGCUAAUACCGGAUGACUUUAACCUAUGGCAUCAUGGGUUAAAGAAAGAUUUAUCGCUUUAGGAUGGGCCCGCGUCCCAUUAGCUAGUUGGUGAGGUAACGGCUCACCAAGGCGACGAUGGGUAGCCGGCCUGAGAGGG